rnacentral:rRNA from 1 species
UACGGAAGGUCCGGGCGUUAUCCGGAUUUAUUGGGUUUAAAGGGAGCGUAGGCCGGCUUUUAAGUCAGCGGUCAAAUCGUGGGGCUCAACCCCAUCCAGCCGUUGAAACUGGGGAUCUAGAGUGUGCGAGAGGUAUGCGGAAUGCGUGGUGUAGCGGUGAAAUGCAUAGAUAUCACGCAGAACCCCGAUUGCGAAGGCAGCAUACCGGUGCACAACUGACGCUCAGGCACGAAAGCGUGGGUAUCGAACAGG